AAUGAACGUUGGCGGCGUGGAUUAGGCAUGCAAGUCGAGCGCUCAUAGCAAUAUGGGAGCGGCGAACGGCGUAGGAAUUCAUAGGAACGUACCCUCAGGACGGGGAUAGCUACGGGAAACUGUAGGUAAUACCCGAUGAUCUCCGCGGAGCAAAGGUGUGAUUCCGCCUGAGGAGCGGCUUAUGCGAUAUUAGCUAGUUGGUGGGGUAAUGGCCUACCAAGGCGACGAUGUCUAGGGGGGUGUGAGAGCAUGGCCCCCACGACCGGAACUGAGAUACUGUCCGGACACCUACGGGUGGCUGCAGUCGAGAAUCUUCCGCAAUGGACGAAAGUCUGACGGAGCGACGCCGCGUGCGGGAUGAAGGCCCUUGGGUUGUAAACCGCUUUCGGAGGGGAUGAAAUCCUCGAGGGUUCUCCCUCGAGGUUGACAGAGCCUCAAAGAAGCACGGGCUAAGUACGUGCCAGCAGCCGCGGU
rnacentral:rRNA from 1 species